AACGAACGCUGGCGGCAUGCCUAACACAUGCAAGUCGAACGGGAGCUUCGGGUCUAGUGGCGCAUGGGUGCGUGACGGGUGGGGACCUGCCUUUAGGUUCGGCAUAACUCCCCGGAAGGGGUGCUAAUACCGGCUAAUGUCUUCGGACCAAAGAUUGGUCGCCUUUGGAUGGGCCGGCGUUGGCUUAGCUAGUUGGUAGGCUAAACGCCUAUCACGGCGGCGAUACAUAGCUGGUCUGUGAGGAUGAUCAGCCACACUGGGACUAAGACACGGCCCGGACUCCUACGCAAGGCAGCAGUGGGUAAUACUGGACAGUCGCCUGUAUGCAGAUGCACCUCUGACUCGAGAGUGAUGAAGGUCUUAGGGAUGUAAAGCACUUUUACCCGUGAUUAUAAUGACAGUACCGGGAGAAUAAGCUCCGGCUAACUUCGUG
rnacentral:rRNA from 1 species